UAGGGCGGGACACGUGGUAUCCUGUCUGAAUAUGGGGGGACCAUCCUCCAAGGCUAAAUACUCCUGACUGACCGAUAGUGAACCAGUACCGUGAGGGAAAGGCGAAAAGAACCCCGGCGAGGGGAGUGAAAAAGAACCUGAAACCGUGUACGUACAAGCAGUGGGAGCACAGGUUUACCUGUGUGACUGCGUACCUUUUGUAUAAUGGGUCAGCGACUUAUAUUCUGUAGCAAGGUUAACCGAAUAGGGGAGCCGGAGGGAAACCGAGUCUUAAUUGGGCGUUAAGUUGCAGGGUAUAGACCCGAAACCCGGUGAUCUAGCCAUGGGCAGGUUGAAGGUUGGGUAACACUAACUGGAGGACCGAACCGACUAAUGUUGAAAAAUUAGCGGAUGACCUGUGGCUGGGGGUGAAAGGCCAAUCAAACCGGGAGAUAGCUGGUUCUCCCCGAAAGCUAUUUAGGUAGCGCCUCGUGAAUUCAUCUCCGGGGGUAGAGCACUGUUUCGGCUAGGGGGCCAUCCCGGCUUACCAACCCGAUGCAAACUGCGAAUACCGGAGAAUGUUAUCACGGGAGACACACGGCGGGUGCUAACGUCCGUCGUGAAGAGGGAAACAACCCAGACCGCCAGCUAAGGUCCCAAAGUCAUGGUUAAGUGGGAAACGAUGUGGGAAGGCCCAGACAGCCAGGAUGUUGGCUUAGAAGCAGCCAUCAUUUAAAGAAAGCGUAAUAGCUCACUGGUCGAGUCGGCCUGCGCGGAAGAUGUAACGGGGCUAAACCAUGCACCGAAGCUGCGGCAGCGACGCUUAUGCGU
rnacentral:rRNA from 1 species